CGGCCUGGGCGGCGGCGAUGGCGCGGGCGGUUUCGGCCUGGCCGAGGUCGGCCACUUCGGCGAUCGGCUCGCCGUUGGCCGG
rnacentral:tRNA from 1 species